rnacentral:rRNA from 1 species
AGCAGCCGCGGUAAUUCCAGCUCCAAUAGCGUAUAUUAAAGUUGUUGCAGUUAAAAAGCUCGUAGUUGAAUUUCGGGGUUAGCAGGUUGGUCGUGCCAAUGGUAUGAACUGGCCUUGCUGAUUCCUCCCUCUUGAUGAGCGGUAAUGUCAUUAAUUUGGUGUUGCGGGGAAUCAGGACUGUUACUUUGAAAAAAUUAGAGUGUUUAAAGCAGGCAAGCGCUUGAAUACAUUAGCAUGGAAUAAUGAAAUAGGACGUUUGAUCCUAUUUUGUUGGUUUCUAGGAUUGACGUAAUGAUUAAUAGGGAUAGUUGGGGGCAUUAGUAUUCAAUUGUCAGAGGUGAAAUUCUUGGAUUUAUUGAAGACUAACUACUGCGAAAGCAUUUGCCAAGGAUGUUUUCAUUAAUCAAGAACGAAAGUUAGGGGAUCGAAGACGAUCAGAUACCGUCGUAGUCUUAACCAUAAACUAUGCCGACUAGGGAUCGGAUGAUGUUAAUUUUUUAAUGACUCA